UGUUCCUACGGGAGGCAGCAGUAGGGAAUUUUCGGCAAUGGGGGGAACCCUGACCGAGCAACGCCGCGUGAAGGAAGAAGGAAUUCGUUCUGUAAACUUCUGUUAUAAAGGAAGAAAGGCGGAUGAAGGAAAUGACAUCCGAGUGACGGUACUUUAUGAGAAAGCCACGGCUAACUACGUGCUAGCAGCCGCGGUAAUACGUAGGUGGAAAGCGUUAUCCGGAAUUAUUGGGCGUAAAGAGGGAGCAGGCGGCAGCACAGG
rnacentral:rRNA from 1 species